rnacentral:rRNA from 1 species
GAUGAACGCUGGCGGCGUGCCUAAUACAUGCAAGUAGAACGCUGAAGCUUGGUGCUUGCACCGAGUGGAAGAGUUGCGAACGGGUGAGUAACGCGUAGGUAACCUGCCUCUUAGCGGGGGAUAACUAUUGGAAACGAUAGCUAAUACCGCAUAAAAGUCGAUACGCAUGAUAUUGAUUUGAAAGGUGCAAAUGCAUCACUAAGAGAUGGACCUGCGUUGUAUUAGCUAGUUGGUGAGGUAACGGCUCACCAAGGCGACGAUACAUAGCCGACCUGAGAGGGUGAUCGGCCACACUGGGACUGAGACACGGCCCAGACUCCUACGGGAGGCAGCAGUAGGCGAAUCUUCGGCAAUGGACGGAAGUCUGACCGAGCAGCGCCGCGUGAGUGAAGAAGGUUUUCGGAUCGUAAAGCUCCGUUGUAAGAGAAGAACGAGUGUGAGAGUGGAAAGUUCACACUGUGACGGUAACUUACCAGA